CGAAUGACGUCGCCGGACGUGCAAGCAAUUAAUAACUCUCUUAGGCCAAUGCGAGAGUUAUUAAUUGCUUUUUUUAUUU
rnacentral:ncRNA from 1 species